rnacentral:rRNA from 1 species
AAAGCCGUGAUAACGCAACACCGAGUGCUAGCAUCAUAUGCUGGCUGUCCAAGUGUGUAAAAUACACCUGUUAGCAAGGGCCGGGCAAGACCGGUGCCAGCCGCCGCGGUAACACCGGCGGCCCGAGUGGUGAUCGUGAUUAUUGGGUCUAAAGGGUCCGUAGCCGGUUUGGUCAGUCCUCCGGGAAAUCUGAUAGCUCAACUAUUAGGCUUUCGGGGGAUACUGCCAGACUUGGAACCGGGAGAGGUAAGAGGUACUACAGGGGUAGGAGUGAAAUCUUGUAAUCCCUGUGGGACCACCUGUGGCGAAGGCGUCUUACCAGAACGGGUUCGACGGUGAGGGACGAAAGCUGGGGGCACGAACCGGAUUAGAUACCCGGGUAGUCCCAGCCGUAAACGAUGCUCGCUAGGUGUCAGGCAUGGCGCGACCGUGUCUGGUGCCGCAGGGAAGCCGUGAAGCGAGCCACCUGGGAAGUACGGCCGCAAGGCUGAAACUUAAAGGAAUGGCG